CAUGCAUCCUCACAUCCAGAUACAUACACAUAUUCUAAUAAAAACUGGUUGGAUAUAGAGAGAAAUUUUGCACACAUGUCACAAAAGCAAAAGUUUUUUUAUCCUCUCGCACACAAAGUCACGUAGUCGCCAGCAGUAUUAUUUUGUGCUCUUUAUAAAUACAUAAUUAACAUUAAAUAAAUAUUUCGUGGAAAUCAAACGGAAUGCGAUAUUUAGUCAAUUGAACGGGGGAACUAUAAAUUUGAUGGAAAUGACAACGUCCGUGAAACACUUGGUGACCGUGUUUUUUGUCCUGCUAAGUAUCCUUGUUGCGGGAAUAGGAGGUCAACAGUAUUUUGAUGGGUCGGGAAAUACCCCGAAUUCGCAGCAUGUGGAAGAAUGCAGUUUAACAAAUUGUGAUUCCUACGCAAAAUGUCCGCAUGGAUGGAUGGAACUUUACACGGAGCGAUACACGUGUCCUGGUGGCCGUGAGAAGAAAUAUUGCUGCUCCCCUGGCCGCACGCCGCUCUGCUACCACACCCCCUGCGCCGGCCCUUCGCCCUCGUCUCAACGGCUACCGAGAAUGGAGCCGCGGCGCGGCGCAGUGUGGGCGCAGGGACGAGCACACGCUGCACUGCUGCAUAGACGGCCAUCUCCCGCAGUGCUUCAACACCACGUGCUCCCCCGCGGGAGAUAUUUCAAACCAAUGUCCAGGCGGGUAUAGUCAGGUCGCUUAUUGGAAAGGGGCCGGUUGGGAGUGUCCACCCCACUUGGACAUGCGGACUUGUUGUAGAUCUGAGCAAAACCUUCAAAAUCAGAAUCCCUUUACACAAGGAAACAACCCGUUUCAAAAUAAUCAACCAAAUUAUGAUCGUAAUUACCAAAAUAGUUAUCCAAACCAAAAUAAUAAUUAUAAUCAGCAACAGAAUUAUCAGGGUGGCUCCGAUUUCCGCUCCGAGUCUUGUCAAUACACUAAUUGCGAAACUUAUUCGCCACGAUGCCCAGGGACACAUUCGUAUGAAUUAUCAACGGACAAAAGUUAUUGUACACAAGGCCGAGAACGAAAACUUUGCUGUCGUCCCGGUCAACUUCCGCCGUGUUACGAUACCUCCUGCCAGUCUGCCACGAACCUAAGGUGUCCCACCGGUUACCGGGAAUGGAGCCGGGAGCCGGGCGCCUGUCGAGGAAACGGGAACGAGCAGAGACUCCACUGCUGCGCGGAUGGCCAACUCCCCACCUGUUACAAAACGCAUGUGCAGAUAAUCCGACCUGCGCAACCGGAUUUUUAGAGGGAAAUAUCCCCUCAUCAGGACAGAACGAGUGUGACUGGCGAAUGUCGCGAAAAACCUGUUGUCGCCCGGGAAACAAUGAUUUCCAAUUUGCCGGAAGAAGAGACGGGUUUUCUACACGGGACCAACAACAAUCCCGCGGAACACCGGAAGGUUGUCUAUUUUCAGACUGUCAACAAUACCCCAGAUGUCCGUUAUCUUACAGAGAAAUGUUUACUGACAGAAAAACUUGUGCAAGCGGUCGGGAGAGGAUGAUGUGCUGUCGUCAAGAUCUCCUCCCCGAGUGUAUCGAUACCCUGUGCGAGUCCACCUACUCGGUCCGGUGUCCCAACGGGUACAGGGAACAGUCUCGGGGUAACCAGGGGUGCAGCAGUAGCCUAGAUACGAAGCUGUAUUGUUGCUCUGACUCCCGCCAACUGGGCCACUGUUACAAUACGACUUGCACGAACAGCGGAGAGGCCGAGUGUCGUCGGGGGUAUGUUAUGACUGCAAGGGGAAAAGGGGUCGAGUGGGGCUGCCCCUGGACGGCUUAUAAGUCGACAUGUUGUGAAACUGCAAGUUGGAAUGGUGGUCGUGGUAAUUUUUUUCACAACAUCGGCCUGAUAAUAGUCGUUUCAUUUCUGGUUUCAUUUUUGAGCGCAUAUGUUUCAGUUUAGAACAAAAAUACAACUUUCAUUAUGUUUUUGGAAACCCGCGUUGUAAGCAGUUGCCAUAAUUCUUCUUCAACAGCACUUCCAAGUUUGUCAAAAAAAUCGUUUUUUUCUGCUUUUUUGUAUAUGUACAAGAUACGAAAAAGUUGGGGAAAGCGAAAAACGCGAUUUUUUUGACAAACUUGGAAGUCCCUAAUAUCUUGUUUAAUGCUUUAUUGAACUUAGCCCUUGUUUUUCAGUUUUUCGUGACUUUCCCUUUAUGGGAAACCUAGGGGAAAUACUAUAUGUUUAGAAAUAUUGCAUUUAUUUUAGUAAGCUUUAUAUUUUAUUAUAACUUUGCACGUUGACUUCGUUAAGGGCACGUUCAUCCAUGACCAAGGGAAAAAUACAGGGUUAAGACAACUGAAAUAGUAGCAUUUUGCACAUAUUUGUUACUACUUUUGUAGCUUAUGCACACAUAGCCAUAGACAGAUUUGUGCACUUGUAAAAUUUUUCAUAGAGAAUAAAUGACAACUUUUACCAAGCUUAUGCAUCUCUGAGGUUGCUACCCUCUGUCAUUCUGAAUUAAGUAUUUAAUAAUUUAACUGGCAUUCAACCCAGGGUCAUAUAUAUAUGUAUUCAUAUAAUUAGAGUGUGUAAACAUUUCGAAUCCGUUGUAAGAUAUGUAUUUAGCGUUGAAGUGCCACACCACAUGGCCGUCGAGUAAAAUUGUGGUGUUAUUAUUAAAAUAAUUAAAAUAAUCAACCAAAUAUUGACCGAUGUGUCAAUAAUGUUAACAAUUUUCACAGUGCCAUUUUGGCCACAUUUACAACAAACAUUCCUGUAUCUUAACCUCUUUUUGACAGUAACUUCCGUAAACCCCUCGUUGCCACUAACCCCCGAAAUUAAGGUUUGUCAAUUUUCAAAACUGAUGUAAAUUCGGAAAAAAUAUGUUUGCAUGGAUUUUAUAUAUAAAAUAUUCAAAAAUCCGACUUUUAGUCUGUACAUCCGACUUUGAUGACCCCCAGCACUGGUCGGAUCAGAACCAUCUUCUAACUUAGGGAAGGUAACGAUACAGUGGAGCUCCAGGCGAUUGGGGACCCAUUGACACGCCAACUUAAUAAUGGAAGGCGUAGCAAGGCAGUGACCUUUUCCCGACGCAAGCUUCCUUUUCUCAAUAACAAAGUUUCAUCGAAAUUUACAUUCAAAUUUUCACCAAAUUUUCAUCAAAAUUUUCAUUAUGAC